CUGAUAGUGCUGGAGACUGAAUUCCUUUAUUUAUCCAGAGAACAGAUACAGCAUGUGUAGUGCAAGCUUCCACCAUGCUGCUACUUGUGUCUCAACCUUGACCUUGAGGGAUGUUUUUCUUAGUCUUUCUUUCCUCAUCCAUAUAUGGGAGUU
rnacentral:sRNA from 1 species